rnacentral:lncRNA from 1 species
UCUCCACCUGCCCCUCUUCCUGUUCUACCACCUCGUUGUUAAUAACGCCCUGCAGCAAAAGAAAACGUCGGUGCGGCCAGAAGCUGUCCAGAUAGGAGAGAAGGUCUGGAUCGCUCAUUUUUCAUCCGUCUGCCUGUGCAGCUCGGCUGAGAACAGUGUACUUCGUUUCAGUUCAGCCAAGAAAGAGACAUCCAAAGAGGUAGACAGAGAAGAUUAGUGCAAACAUGUGCAAGUGCACGUGGGAGUGAGCAUGUGCAGUACAUGCAUUUGUGUGUGUGUGUGUGUGUGUGUGUAAAUCCUACAACAGCUGUGAUCUGACUUAAGAUUUGGAUAAAUGAGAACAACUAGAUUUGUUCUCAAUGUGAUGUAUGUGCUGUGUGUUCUAUGAAAUGAAGAGAACCAACACAACUUCCCUGAUAAUUCAAUGUAUGUAGCCCUCCGCACACACAUAAUGCAUAUGUGCCUGUGAGUCAGUGUGUCAAUACACACAGGUUGGGAGCAGAUGAAUUAGACCAGCAGGAUUCCCUCAUAAAUAACAGACUAGAUCCCCAGUAGAUGCAUGGGUUACAUACAAAAAGGGAAGCCCAGGG